UACGGGGGGGGCAAGCGUUGUUCGGAAUUACUGGGCGUAAAGGGCUCGUAGGCGGCCAACUAAGUCAGACGUGAAAUCCCUCGGCUUAACCGGGGAACUGCGUCUGAUACUGGAUGGCUAGAGAUUGGGAGAGGGAUGCGGAAUUCCAGGUGUAGCGGUGAAAUGCGUAGAUAUCAGGAAGAACACCAAUGGCGAAGGCAGCUCUCUGGGACGGUACUGACGCUGAGACGCGAAAGCGUGGGGAGCAAACAGG
rnacentral:rRNA from 1 species